rnacentral:tRNA from 1 species
GCGGGGAUGCCGGAGUGGUCAAACGGGACGCGUUUAGGCCGCGUUGGCUUAGUGCCUGCGAAGGUUCGAAUCCUUCUCCCCGCA